CUUGACUUGUUGAUGCAGUGGGAGACGAAGAUAUCAGGUUGUUCUCUUCUCACCGAUGGGAUGCAUGGCCCGGCCCUCGGAAGGCUCUUGUCGUCGACCUGCUCCCACUCCUCCGUCUCCACGUCGAUCAAGAAAUGUCGAUGUCGCGUCGCAUAAUAAUGGAGGAAACUAAUGAUGUAUCAUCCAAGAUUUGCCUUUGUGGCUAUAUAAACACCUAUCAAACCAAGGGGAUAGCUAGGUAAACAACAAUAAUACAGCUGCGCCCUUCCCUUCUGAAAAGAUCUCCCUAUCAUGGCACUUCUUGGCAAGGAUAAUAGUAAGGCUGUGGUGUUCUUGGCAGCUCUUAUGGUGAUGGCUAUUGCUUUCUCAUCCUCUCAUGCAGCCCAAGGUACACACAUAUAUAUACAUCUUCAAUUUCUCCAUCACCAUGCUGAAUAUAACAGCUUAAUUAAUUUUCUUCGUUUUGCAAUGGCCAAUGGAUGAAUCAAAAUCAAGCAUCUGAUCAUGGGUCUAACCAUUCUGUACACAGGUAUAUAAUUUUACAUAUUUCACAAAAGUUUUUGAAUAAGACAAACGGUCAAACAUGUGCUAAAAAGUCAACGGUGUCAAAUAUUUCGAAACGGAGGGAGUAAAGGAUACAUGCACAUACCUACGAGGCUGCACCACGAGUCUCUGUCAAGCCAAUCAUAAUGAAGGAGGCAAUUGCGACAGCGAUUCUGAUCAAUGCUGCUGUGGAACUCGCCUUGGCCAUGGAGUUGGCACUGGCCAUGUACACAAAUAAACUCUUAUUUGAUCGAUCUCUAGCCUGUUCAAGUACGAUAAAACCUGAUAGGGACUGUGUCUUCUCUUUUUAGUUCCAUAGAAAUGAAAAAAAUAAAUAAAUAAAAACAAUCAAAUUUGGACGGCGAGGAUGCCUUCAAGAUUCCUGCAACCCGCUUAUCCUUUUAUUCUUCCCCCAACUCCUUAUCCCCACAGUAACUAGUUGUUUUCUUCGCGCGAUCAAGUCCCCCGCCUUAGUGCACCACCGUCUGACCUCGCUGGCUGGCCGAGAGAUGACUAGGCCCUCCUCCCACUCUCCACCCCUUCUCUCUUCCUCCAUAAGUCGGUAGCGACUUCAUUAUUGACUUUUAAUAGAAAAUAUAUAAGAAAAGAUAGCAAAGUACGUAAUAAUAUUUCAAAUCUAUAUAUUUUAAAAGAUGUCUUUUAUUACCAUUUUCAUGAAGCGAACUAUUCAAAUAUGUAUUAACGAUCAAAGUGUAAACCUAUGGAUUACAUGUUUUAUAAAAUUUAACUCACUCAUAGCUAGAGAAAGUAAUUAAGAGUGAACAAUAAAUCAGGAGAACGAACCAGGACUUUAUAUUAUUUGUUGAUAAGCUCGAUUAGCAAGUAUUAGUCACGGAAGCACUGACAGCUCUGAUAAAUAUGUCAAAUGUUUCCCCGCAAAAAAAAAAUGUCAAAUGUUCACACCUACAAUCUAACCGUGGGCCGAAUUAUUUGGACCAAUUUGAGCCCAGCCGGUAAGGUGUACGUGUCGGCCCAAAACAUCAAAUCUUAUAAAAUAAACAGCUAAUAAAUUGCUCAGCAUAAAUGCAAGGGAUAUGAGUAAGAUAAUGUUUGCAUUAAUAUAUGUCAUUUAUGGUGGGUUAUUGUACCCCUAUAUGAACACCGGCAACAGUGAAGGUCGUAGAAGUAGCUUAUCAAAUCAUCGGGAGAACAAAACACUGUAGCCUGAUCUUGUGAUGGCAAUCAUUUCCAAGAAAAAUAACACAAUGGCCCUCGGCUGCUUGGUGGCUUUUGUGAUCUUGGCUGUCGCUCUCUCAUCCUGCAAAGCGGACGAGAGUACAGAUGUGUGUUUCUAUACGGGUCUCCGGGCAUGCCAAGUGAGAAUGUGUGGAGCCUACUGCCUCAAAUACUAUGGUAAUUUGGUAGACUGGAAAGGCGCCUACUGCAAUGAGCAAGUGAAAUGCUGCUGCAAAGCAAGAUCGAUUAGUCGUUGAAUAAAUCAAUUAAUGUCCACCUAAUCGAUCAAUCUUGUUGAGACGGAUUGAUAAAUACAAAAACUGUAUCAAUUACAAAUAACAUGACGUAGGGCCUGCAAGCCUAAUCGUGUGGCAGGCAGAGGUCGGCAAUGUAAUAUAUUUUUAUUAUUAGAAAGCAGUAUACAGUUAUAAAUGAAGAAA